UACGUAGGGUGCGAGCGUUAAUCGGAAUUACUGGGCGUAAAGCGCGCGUAGGCGGUUUUGUAAGCCAGAUGUGAAAUCCCCGGGCUUAACCUGGGAAUGGCAUUUGGGACUGCAAGGCUGGAGUGCGGCAGAGGAGACUGGAAUUCCUGGUGUAGCAGUGAAAUGCGUAGAUAUCAGGAGGAACACCGAUGGCGAAGGCAGGUCUCUGGGCUGACACUGACGCUCAUGCACGAAAGCGUGGGGAGCAAACAGG
rnacentral:rRNA from 1 species